ACCACGGUGCAGAGGCUGGACCAGGCGUCUGAUUCCAGGGUCACAGCCAGGGCAAGAACAGUGGUCAUAGAAUCUUCCCUUCAAGGCUCCCUCUCCUCUCGGGGCCUUCGCCUUCUGAGAAGAUAAACCUGCCCCCCUCAGGUCACAGGCCCCCCAAGGCGUGUGUAUAGGAACUAUAAAGUGCCUCCCCUCCCCCGCCGCCUCCUCCUCCUCCUCCCCCUCCCCCUCCGGGGAGGCCUCGGGUUCUGAUGAAACAGGACGUGGCACAGGAUGGACAGCAGACCCCGGUUUGAAUCCCGGCUCUGCCACUGACCAGCGCUGUGACCAUCAGCCAGUUACUUCUCUCCAGCCUCACUGAUGCUAAAUGACAGCAGUAAGACAGCUGCCUACCCGGAUGCCCUGGGGACAAAACAGUCAGGUGAGGAAACCGAGGCUCAGAGAGGUCAAGAGACCUGCCCGGGAUCACAAAGAGAGGAAGUGGUGGGACGGGGAUUCGGAGCCAGGCCUGCAGGCCUCCACAGCACAUAUGUUGUGAUUUCUCCUACAGACUUCCUUACCCUGGAUCUCUCUGAACGGCUCAGGGUGGGAGGAACGCUCAGCAUCACUCACUAAGGCUCACAUCUCUCCAGGCGUCACCCAAACCCACCGCCACAGUUACCAAAUUUGCGGAUUCCUGGGCCUCGGUCCAGACCUACAGAAUCAGCAUCUCUGGGGGUGCAGCCCAGGAAUCUGCAUUCUCCAAAGCACCCAGCCUAGUCAGGUCUGGAGAAAGCUGGAGCCCCCAAGCAGCCAGGCAGAAGGAGAGCAGGUGCGAGGAGCAGGCGGGACGGGAGGACACAG